UACGUAGGGACCAAGCGUUGUUCGGAUUUACUGGGCGUAAAGGGCGCGUAGGCGGCGUGUUAAGUCAGCUGUGAAAUCUCCGAGCUUAACUCGGAACGGUCAGCUGAUACUGAUGUGCUAGAGUGCAGAAGGGGCAAUCGGAAUUCUUGGUGUAGCGGUGAAAUGCGCAGAUAUCAGGAGGAACACCAGUGGCGAAGGCGGAUCUCUGGGCCAUUACUGACGCUGAGGAGCGAAAGCGUGGGGGAGCGAACAGG
rnacentral:rRNA from 1 species